CCGAGCUACUCACACUUUGUACGGCAGCCGUGGGUCCGACGUCAGCGUGAUCUUAAAGGAAACCUUCGACCUGAGGAAAAGAGCGGGAGAGAGUCAGGGUCGGGCAGCUGGACCAGGAAUUAAGGCAGUCGAUUGAUGUCAGAGUGGGAUUCAAAGUAGAACUCCAGUGACUCCAAGGAGCACCAAGUCACCAAAAGGGAGUUUGUCUCACUGAAACUGUUAAAGGAAGAUAAGAUGCUGUUUAAGUCCCAAUGUAGCUGAGGAAGUAACGAGAGAGCUCUCAAUGCCAGCACCUCCACCUCAGAGAUCUCCAGGCCAAACGCCCCAGUACAGAAGGAAAGAACGGCUAGAAUCCAGUUUGGCAAUUGCUGAAAACCAUGAAGAAUAAGAUAGGUGACUAGGAUCCAUGGAAAUAAUUCACUUUUUUAAAAAAGGCCAAAAGAUAAAAACAAGCAAGAAAGCAAACAAAUAAAAGUAACAACAAAAUUUAAGAACCCCUUGCAUGGAAGGAUGCUUAUUUCCUCUGGACUGAAAGAUGGCAUCAGAAGUGGGAUCUAAAGUAAAGCUUCUAACAAUCCCCAUGAGCACUGAGUGACCAAGCAAGGUACACGCCAGGCCUGUUCUGUCUGUUGCUCUCGCAGAGCAGCUGGGGAUGGUGAUGACAGAAACUUAAUCUGCAUUGGCUUCGGCAAAGCAGAAAUUUAUUGGCUUACAAGGCCCCAUCUUGUCCAUGCACCUGUCUGCUUCCUUGGCUUCAGAGCAUUGCCUCCAAGUCCUCUACAGCACAACUUUCCCUUCAGCAUCCAACCUUAUGAUGUACUGGGAUAUUGUGUUGCCCCUCUCCCCUCACUACCUGUGCUGGGCUUUGAGGCUGACGCACCUAUAAACCCCAGGAGUGGAGGGAAGGUAAGAAGGAAAAGGGUGAUGUUAAAAAAAAAAAGAUUGAAAAGGAGAUAAGAUGACAAGAACAUGCAGUGAAUAUUUAUGGCAUGUUUACCUCUAAGGGAACAUAAUUUCACAAAGUUUCUGUUACGAACAACAAAUGUAUUUAAUCUAUCAGUUAUAAAGAUACUAACAUAUAUGAAAAUUUGGAUGCAAUGUCAAAAGGUAGAGUGUAUAUUGAAGGGUAAAAAUAUAGAAUGCAGGCAAUUGUACACAUAUGCUAGUUAAGCUCCCUGUAAGUGCUAUAUAUAGGACUGUAGUGACAUAUGAGGCAACCGCCAGACCUAAGACUUAGUUGCUUACUUCAAUGGGUCAUAAUAUGUUAAUCAAAUAUUGAUUUUUAGUAAUUAUUUGAAAUUUGGAUUAAAAUAUUUAUCUAAGUAAAGUCUCACAGAUAGAUGUUAAAGCAAAGAAAAAACACUACAUAAAACAUAUAUUGUGCAUGUGAGAAAACUGCACGUGUAAUACAUAAAUCUGCCAAACAUGUGAAUUAGGCAGCAGACUUUACAAAACUGCUACAAAUUAGAGGUGGCUAAUACUUUAACAUAUCUUUAAUUACUUUAUAUUGUAUUAAUAAAUAGUGAAAAAGAGAAAUUUUAAAAUAACCUAUCUUGUUUCUUACAUUAUUUAAAACCAUUAUAUUAUUACAAAUCAGGUAACAUAAGUGCUGGAAGUCCAAUUAAUAUGUGUGUUUCUAAUUGUCUUCAUUAAUUAAAUGUUUGAAGUCAAAUGCAUAUAUGCAGCCAAAUCCAGAGAUUCUUAGAAAAUUAAAAGCUUAGUGAUCUAGUAAUUUUGAUGGAUAAAUCAAUUGCAUAGAAAGGAAAAUGAAGCCUUAAGGCAGCUCUUGAAAAAAUGCAAGGCAAACAAGCAAACAAAUGCCUUUUUAUUCAUACAGGUGUGUGUGUGUGUGUGUGUGUGUUUGAUUGAUUUUACCUCCUUGAUUUUUUUUUCAAGGCCUUGGCGAAGUAUAAACCAACAUAUGUAUACAUGCCUUCUUUUUUAUAGUAGAAAUACAUCUGCGUUUUCAUGAAUCAUACAAAAUGUUGAGACACAAGAAAGAAAUUGUGAAAAAGAGUGAUAAUACAGUGGAUUCAUUAAAUGAAAUCCUGGGCAUUUAUUUCAAAAUGGCAUUGAGAUCAAGUGCAUAUUCUGCCACAAUUUGAAAUUUUUUAUUUCACAUGUCAUAAUUUUAAAAAUAAUGUGACAUAUUAGUAUUCAUAUUUUCUCAGGAUAUAUGAGCUAUAGUGAAAAAUUAAACUUGGAGUUAAAAAAUUAUUUGGAAAAAAUAAAGCACUUAGUGAAAGAUUAAUAUUCAUUCAUAUAAAACAUCUAAAAUCUCAGCAUAUUUUCAAAUAAUUCUACUCUACAUAAUGCUAGAAGAAAGUGACAUCAUUUUAAGGAUAGGGAAAAAUCUUUACCUUUCAUAGUUAGAAUACAUUGAGUUUCUGUUCUUUGGAAAAACUUCUCAUAUUUAGCAUGCUGGUAGUACUAGUGUUAAUAUUAACAGAAAUUAUAAAAGUAGCAGAAAUUAAUGAGCACUUACCAUGUUCUAAGCACUUUGCUAAGUACUUUAUAUUAUUACCUCAUUUGAUCCUCAUGAUAACAUUAAAUGGAUCUUAUAACUGCUCCCAUUUUACAGAUGAGGCAAUCGGAACAGCAGGGUUGAAUUGACUUGUCCAACAUGCUAGCAUGUGGUGGAAGUCUGGUUUCAAACCCAUUAAAUAGGACUCAAGAGUCUGUGUAGGAUGCCAUUCUGCCAUUCCUUCUCUUCAUAUCAUUGAAAUGUAUGAUGAAUUAUAAUUAUUUAAAAUAAACAUGUAACCUACUUUAUUUCAUACAUAUUUUCUUAAAAUGUUAAAUAGCUUAAUUUUUUUCACAAACUGUAUUACAUUUUUGGUACACUAGGAAUGCAGGAUGGCUAAUGAAGCAAUGAUAAAGUCUCUCCGAAAAGGGUAGAUUUUUCCUUUACGAGUUAUACUUUUUAUUUUUGAGUUGAUAUCUAGAGGAUCUGUUUAAAGCAAAACAUGUCAAAGAUCAUGAUAAAACUCACAAGAUAGUCAUAUCAAUACACUAAUAGCUACUCAGAGCCCUCACUGUUUAAAAGAAAAUGAAAAGAGUGAUGCACUUAGCUCAUGUUGGUGCUUUAGCUGGACUUGAAAUGCAAUAGAACAACAAAGCUUUAUUACUAAAGUGAAAAGAUUUGAGGCUAUCUCAAAAAAUCCUGGAGAAUAUUUAAAAUGUCAAGAUUUUGUGAUCAUAAAGACAUUACUGUUGACUUAUAAAGUUGGGCAAUUGUGUCCAAACUAUUACCCACCCUCACCUCUGGUAGUUUCUACAGUCAUUUGGUAGGAACCCCACAGCUUUUAACAGGCAAGACUUUCUUCGAGAAAUAUCAGUUUUACAUUUUCUUCUUAGACAAAUACUUAAAAAGUAGAAAGAAGGAAACCUACAGAAGGCUGGAAAUUUUAUAUGUUUAUAUAUUUGGUUUUUAUAAAACAAAUUAUUUGAUAGGUUUAAAAAAGCCCUGAAUCUCAGAUAGAUUACAUAGCUUUGCCAAUGUCAUACACCUAAAUAAGAAGGAAGGAGAUUCUAGCUUCAGAACCCAAGCUUCCUUCAGUGAACUGCAAACUGCCAAUAAACUAAUGAAGGAUCUCCGUAAGUAGAUUUUCUCUUGCAUUAUAUAUUAUAUGUCUAAUGGCUGAUUGGUGGGUAGAACAGUGUAGGGAAGUUGCAAACAUUCCACAGAAGGUCAUCAGACUAUCAGUAGUUUUGAGGGGCAGAGUAAGGAAAACAUAGGGCUUUGUAGGUAUAAAAGCAGGAUUUCCUAAGUAUAGACAUAGCUGUAGGGAGUUGCUUCCACUGUCUACAGGAUUCAGUUCAACUUUGAGCUGGCUGACUUAUGUAUAUGAAAAUGUUUAUUCACCAACAUGAGCAUGCUAUGCCUUCUUUCCUCUGUGAGUGAGUUAUCCUUUGUGUUUUUAUUCUAUAAUUAGAAAUUGAUUUUUUUUCCUGGAAGAAUCAUUUGAAAAAAGCUUUUCUUUAUGUAUAUAUUUACAAACUAAUCUAGAGAGAGGCAUUUCUAAAAAUGCAUCAAAAAUUAAUAACACUUACUACAAAUCAUAUGUGUCAAGGGGUAGGCACAACUUCUUAUGGAUAGGUAAAGAAAUACAUGGAAUAGGCCCGAUGCGGUGGCUCAUGCCUGUGAUCCCAACACUUUGGGAGGCCAAGGGGGGCGGAUCAUGAGUUCAGGAGAUUGAGACGAUCCUGGCUAACACAGUGAAAUCCCAUUUGUACUAAAAAUACAAAAAAUUAGCCGGGCGUGGUGGCAUGUACCUUUAGUCCCCACUACUUGAGAGGCUGAGGCAGGAGAAUCGCUUGAACCUGGGAGGCAGGGGUUGCAGUGAGCAGAGAUCGCAUCACUGCACUCCAGCCUGGGUGACAGAGUGAGACUCCAUCUCAAAAAAAAAAAAAAAAAAAAAUACAUGAAAUAAUCACACUGUUAAGUUUUCUAAUUUGCAAUGGAUAUAAAAUACAUGAGGAUAUAAAAUGUACUCUUAAGUUCAUUCUUAGGCAUUAAAGAAAAUGCCAACUCCUUUAUAAGAAACUACACAUUUGUCAUAAUAAGUAUUUUUUAUAAUAGCUUUUAAUAAAAUAUGUAUCCAGUAACAAUUAUUAUCAUCAUGAUAAUAGUAAUAAGAAUAAGAAAAAAAGAACAUUGAUUGGGUGACUAGGAUGGCUGGACUUAUAACUUAAUAGAUUACUUCAUUUAACAGUCAUUCCAGAUACCUGUGAAUAAUCAAAGAUACCUAAUAAGACAAUUCCAAGAAAAUGUGAUCCUACCAAUAACCCACAACCCCCCACUUCCCACUCAAGUGGCAGCCAGAGAAGACAAUGGUGUUCUAUGAGCAUAUCUUCCCACCUACCCACACCCAGGCCUCUGCUGGUUGGCUCAGUUGUGGAUUUGUGACUCAAUGACAUUCAAUCAAACACUAGCCAGUCACCAGUGAUGCUACAUUUUGCUAAAAUAUAAGCUGGAAUAGUGACAUUUAUUUGUCUCGAAAAUUGUUGAACCAUAAACUAUUAAGAGAGAAAAAGAGUUCAUACUGAGAUCAGUAGCUCAACAGUCAUGAGAAAAACUGGAAAACCUAUGUUAUGUUGUAUAUAAUCCAAAGCAAGGUAAAAGUUUAAACUAGCAGUGAAUAAGAGUUAUAGGAUGGAUAAAGAGUAAAUGAGAAAAACAGUUGGAAAUAGACAAAAAAAGAGAAUAUACACAAAGAAUAAUCAAAUCCCAAAAGUAAACGUCUCACAUAAGCCUAAUAGUUCAUGACUCAAAGUUGCCUUGGGUUAAGAGUGAGCCUCUUGCUCAUCCUGGCAACUGAAGAUAACUGAAAUUGCAAUUUCCUCACAGGGAUCUUGUGCUUUUAUUGUCCCUUUAUUAUGAAAUGAUUAUUUUAAAAGACAACUCCAUCCCUACUCUGCUGUAAGGAAUAGAUAGUUUUAGUUUACAAAAAAGAAAUAAUAAUUCAGAGUGUAAACAAAGUUUUCCAAGGUCAUGUAGAGUGUCUAUUGCCCUCCAUAAUUCUGCACACUAACCUACUACACCCUAUUGUUUUCCUAUUAUCAACUUUUCUUACUCUUUUUUGAAACAUUGAUUUAGACAGCUGGAAAUGAAUUAUAGUUUUUCAACAAAAUGUUACUUAAAUUUAAUUAAUCAACCAUUGCUUAUAGACAAAAAGAAGUAUAAGUGCUUGUUGAAAGGGCACACAAUUUUAGCUGAAUUAUUAUAUUGUAUUAAUUUCACAUAGUAUAUUUAACAAGGAUAUCUCAAUGACAAUGCUGCUAAGCAUAAGUAAAAUGUAUAGAUAUUUUUAUACUUACAGGUGAUAAAGCAGAAGUAGUUAAAUCCUAGUGUGAAGGGCUCAUUUAGAUAUGUCUUUGUAUUAAGGGAAUGAUGAACCUCUAAGAUUGGAACUAAUCGAAAGCCACCUCUAAGAGUGGAACUAAUCCACUGAAGCCUAGACCGGAAGGAUUUCACGGUAAAACAUGAUAUUGUUGUAAUUAUAGUUUCUCAACUUGGGCACUAUUAACAGUUUGGACCAGUAACACUUUGUUGAGGGAAGCUUUUCUGUACAUUGUAGAAUGCUUAGCAGAAUUCGUGGCCUCUGCACAUUUGAUUCCAGUAACAAUAUCCUAGGGGUAAAAUUGCUCCUGGUUUAAAACCACUCUAUCUGAUGUGUUUUCAUACCAAUAUACUCUGUGCAUUUGCAUGAGUCCUAGAAAGAGAAGAGUAUGCACGUUAAAACUAAUAGCUCUGUUUUCAUUUUUUUUAAAGGGAGAGUGGAUUGUUAUUGAGACAUAUGUUCUGCUUACGUGGAGAGUAACUUGAGCAACGUUACCCACCUCUAUGUGGAAACACAGGUUUAUUUAGUAUGUUGAAAUUCCAGACAUAACUAUCUGUUCAGUAGCAGUGGUUCCUAUAAGACAACAACUUCACUGUUCAUUUUGUGCUAGUAGAAUGGAACUUCACGGACCUUGGAGAAGCAUACUCCAAACACUACAAAUGAUGGUUAUACUUUGGAGAGAUGCUAAGACAGCAGAUGCUAAAAUCCAGAUACCUUUUGUGAAUAUGAGGCAUAUCUACUGGGAACACAUCAUAAUAAUCUGUUGAGGUAAACAUUGAAGAUGGUGGCAAUAAACAGUUGGAGAAAAAGAAAAAUAUCAACAUGCAAGGCACCAUUGUUUUCUUGCUUCUUAAUUGUAACUUUUUAUUUUUUGUGUAUAUGGCUAUCACAGAGAUUUAAAAAUUAAUCAUUGAAAAUCAUUAAUAGAAUUGACCUGUGAGCAUCAACACAGAAAUGGAUGAAGAAAAUGUGUUAUAUACACAGUGGGAUACCAUUAAGCCUAAAAAUGAAGGAAAUCUUGUCAUUCACAGCAACAUGGGUGAGCCUGAGGGGGCAUUAUGUUCAGUGAAAUAAGUCAGGCACAGAAAGAUAAAUACCACCUGUUCUCACUUAUAUGUGAGAGCUUAAAGAAGCUCAGCUUAUAAAAGUAGAGGGUAGAAUUGUUUAGUAUUAGAGGCUUGGAAUGGUAGGGAGGAGGAGAAGAUAGCCAGAAGUUGGUUAACAGACACAAAAUUGUCUAGAUGGAGAGAAAGUUCCAGUGUGCCAUAGCACUGUAGGGUGACUAUAGUUAACCAUAAUCUACCAUAUUUUCCAAUAGCAGGAAGAGAGAACUUUGAAUGUUUGAAGUGCUGGACAUUCUUACUACUCUGAGUUGAUUAUUACACAUUGCACACAUGCAUCAAAACAUCACUCUGUAUCCUACAAAUAUGUACAAUAUUACGUGUUAACUCAAAAUAAGAAAAAAUGAAAUCUUGAUUUAUUAUUAUCUAAUUUCAGUAUUUUACCACUUUCCCCCAAAUGCAAAAGCAAUUUAGUACUAUUUUUCAGCAUCCCAUUGUCUUGUAUUUUACUAUACAUUUUAUGAAUCCCUUACUACAUGUAUUUUUUCCCUAGUAUUGAUUUACAUAUACCUACACACAUCCGUACUUUCACCUGGGAUUCCUUUGUUUUAGUCCUUUAGUAUUCAUUUUAGAGAAGAUCUGCAAGUUGUGAAUUCCUUUACCAUAUGAUUGUCUCUAUUAUAUGCUAAAAGAAUAUGAUAGAAUAAAUAAAAGAAUAUGUUUUUUCAUUUUGAAGGAUAUUUUCACAGAGUAUAGAUUUUGAGGGGUUUAUAUUUACUUUUAAUAUUUUAAAGGUAUCAUUCACUUAUCUUCCAGCUUCCAUCGUUUUUGACAAAAAUUUAAACAUCAGUCUUGAUUUUCCUUUGAAGAUACUAUGAUUUUCUAACUGCUUUAAAAUGUUUCCCUUUGUCUUUGAUAUUCAGCAAUUUGACUAGGACAUAUCUAGAUGUGGUCAUCUUUAUAUGUGUCCAAAUGAGUUUUGCUGCGCUUUAUAAACGUGAAUUGAUAAUUUUAUCUGAUUUGAAAAAUUCUAGACAAAUACUUUAUCAAAUAUUGUUCCUAUUCCAUGCUCUUCUCUCUUUCUGAGCAAUAACUAUAAUUCAAACUAUUUUAUCAUGUUCCAAAUAUCUCUUACUUUAUGUUACUGUUUUCUUCCCUGCUUCAGUAUGUAAAAUUUUUAUUGACUUAUCUUUGGGGUCACUAAUUCUU